CCAAUGUGUUGUGGGAGGGACUCAGUGGGAGGUAAUUGAAUCAUGGAGGUGGCUAUCCCCAUGCUGCUGUUCUCAUGAUAGUGAGUGAGUUCUCACAAGAUCUGAUAGUUUUAUAAGAGGCUAUUUUCCCUUUGCUUGGCACUUCUCCUUCCUGCCAUCAUGUGAAGAAGGAUCUGUUUUCUCCCUUCCGGCAUGAUUAGAUUAUGUCAUAAGAAAGGGGCAGAAGAAGCAUCACCAACUCUAAGGAACCAAAGUCUCUCCAGCCACCAAAAUGAAUGCAGCUGCCACUUAGGGGAAGUGGACAAGGACAGAACCACCCAGAGAUGAUGGUGAGAAAAGGCAGAAGGCCUGGGAGCUGGAAAAUGACUCCAUGGAGUAAAAGAUCACAGCAUCCUUUGGGACAAGACCGAUGUUCAUGACAAGAAUGAAAACUAAUGCUGCAGCAAUGGAGAUUGUGAAAAUACAAAUUUAAAAAUGCAUACCUAAAGGAAAAUCAAGAAAAAAAGGAAAAUUAAGCAUUAAAUGGAACUCUGAGUAGUUACUAAAAGUAAGAAAAGGCAAAACAAAAUACCACCAGACUCUCUCCAUUACUACUUCCAACUACUGUUUCCCUAUUGACACAUAAUCUCUCAUCUGGAGUUCUGUUUGUGUUAUAAUAAUGAAUCCAAAACAUAAGCAGUUUAUUUCUCAAUAGCUAUAUUAACAAAGGUGUAUUUAUUAAUCAUUUGUAAUAAAAAUGAAUGUACACCAAGUGGUAGUAUUUUAGAGCUUAUUCUCAAUUAUAAAAAUAAUUAAGUUGCCUUAUAAAUGAAAUGUAGAAAAAAUAUUUUAAAAGAGUAUUU
rnacentral:lncRNA from 1 species